rnacentral:rRNA from 1 species
GAGUUUGAUCUUGGCUCAGAUUGAACGCUGGCGGCAUGCCUUACACAUGCAAGUCGAACGGCAGCACGGGAGCUUGCUCCUGGUGGCGAGUGGCGAACGGGUGAGUAAUGCAUCGGAACGUAUCCUGGAGUGGGGGAUAACGUAGCGAAAGUUACGCUAAUACCGCAUAUUCUGUGAGCAGGAAAGCGGGGGACCUUCGGGCCUCGCGCUCUUGGAGCGGCCGAUGUCGGAUUAGCUAGUUGGUGAGGUAAAGGCUCACCAAGGCGACGAUCCGUAGCAGGUCUGAGAGGAUGAUCUGCCACACUGGAACUGAGACACGGUCCAGACUCCUACGGGAGGCAGCAGUGGGAAUUUGGACAAUGGGGCAACCCUGAUCCAGCCACGCCGCGUGAGUGAAGAAGGCC